UAGCUCAGUUGGUAGAGCACAGGACUGAAAAUCCUGGUGUCGGCGGUUCAAUCCCGUC
rnacentral:tRNA from 1 species